GAUGAACGCUGGCGGCGUGCUUAACACAUGCAAGUCGAACGAUGAAGCUCAGCUUGCUGGGUGGAUUAGUGGCGAACGGGUGGGUAACACGUGAGUAACCUGCCCUUAACUCUGGGAUAAGCCUGGGAAACUAGGUCUAAUACCGGAUAGGAGCGCCUACCGCAUGGUGGGUGUUGGAAAGAUUUAUCGGUUUUGGAUGGACUCGCGGCCUAUCAGCUUGUUGGUGAGGUAAUGGCUCACCAAGGCGACGACGGGUAGCCGGCCUGAGAGGGUGACCGGCCACACUGGGACUGAGACACGGCCCAGACUCCUACGGGAGGCAGCAGUGGGGAAUAUUGCACAAUGGGCGAAAGCCUGAUGCAGCGACGCCGCGUGAGGGAUGACGGCCUUCGGGUUGUAAACCUCUUUCAGUAGGGAAGAAGCGAAAGUGACGGUACCUGCAGAAGAAGCACCGGCUAACUACGUG
rnacentral:rRNA from 1 species